GGAGCCUGCAUUCUAGGGAGGAAAGCUGACGACACAUCAACUAGAAACUAUCAGUAACAUUAUGCAGAGAACUGAGAUGGGGAGCUACGUUUGCAUGAGUAGUCAGGAAAAGAUCUUUGUUUUUGAAGGGUGAUGUCUGAACAGAGACCCCAAUGUUGCAUGGAAGCAGGUCAUGUGAAGACCAGGGAGAACAGCGCCCCAGAGAUGGAGUUCUGCUCGUCGCCCAGGCUGGAGUGCAGGGGCGCAGUCUUGGCUCACCACAACCUCUGCCUCCUGGUUCAAGCAAUUCUCCCGCCUCAGCCUCCCGAGUAGCUGGGAUUACAGGUGUGUACCACCAUGGCCGGCUAAUUUUGUAUUUUUAGUAGAGACAGGGUUUCACCAUGUUGGUCAGGCUGGUCUCGGACUCCCGAGCUCAGGUGAUCCACCCGCCUCGGCCUCCCAAAGUGCUGGGAUUACAGGCAUGAGCUUCCGCGCCUGGCCCUCUGGUUGUCUGUAAGUGUGUAGCACCUCCUCCUCUCUCCUCCUCCUGCUCCAGCCACCCAAGACAUGCCUGCUUCCCGUUCACCUUCCACUGUGAUUGUGAGUUUCCUGAGGCCUCCCCAGCCGUACUUCCUGGACAGCCUGCAGAACCGUGAGCCAAUUAAACCUCUUUUCUUUAUAAAUUAUCCAGCCUCAGGUAUUUCUUUAUAGCAGUGAGAGAACAGACUCAUACAACUGGGCAUGUCUUCUAAGCAAGGUACUAUUCUAAUCACCAGACAAUAGUGUGCUAGUAACUAUUUAACAACCGGCUCUACGAGAGUAAUCCUGCCAUGAUUACUCACCAUGAUUACGGUGGCUAAUAUUUUCAUUUAUGUUAACAAGUAAGAUAAAGGUAAAACAACAAAAGUGCACGCUGGAACUUGACUCCUUUGUCGAUGACAUGAGAGACUUCCUUGCUGAAUAUGAUAAUAGACUUCCUUGCUGAAUCUGAUCUGAUAAUCCUUUUUUUUUUUUUUUUUAAUUUUCUGAGACAGAGUCUGGCUCUGUCGCCCAGGCUGGAGAGCAGUGGCGUGAUCUCUGCUCACUGCAACCUCCACCUCCUGGGUUCACACCAUUCUCCUGCCUCAGCCUCUCGAGUAGCUGGGACUACAGGCACCCACCACAACGCCCGGCUAAUUUUUUGUAUUUUUUAGUAGAGACGGGGUUUCACCAUGUUAGCCAGGAUGGUCUAGAUCUUCUGACCUUGUGAUCCACCCGCCUCGGACUUCCAAAGUGCUUGGAUUACAGGUGUGAGCCACCGUGCCAGGCCCUGAUAAUAGUUAUGAAAUACUGGAAAAACAGUUUUAAAAUUCUCUGUGCUGUUUACACUUUAACAAUGACAUGCUUUUAUGUUUAAUCUACAUCAUUAAUACUUUUCUCCAUCCCUUCCUUAAAUCUAGACAACAAACCAAACAAUAGGGCAAGCUCUGGUUUGUAGUGUCUGCUGAUUCCUGUGGUGUGAAUACUCCCACCAUGGCCAAUAUCAAGCUGCCAACAUGGUGUCACUAUAUGCAGACUUGGGAAGAGAUGCCUGCUAGCACAUCAUGGUACAGAAUCUCCACUCUGCGGAUAUAAUAGGUGCAAACCCCAAGAGCAGAGCAGAGCAAACAGCAAAAUAAUUAAGGAGUGAUAUGUUUUGAAUAUUCAUUAUCUUUGUUUUCAAUAAAAUUUAUUUAAUUGUAGGCUUUUACAGUCUAAUUUGUAUUUUCAUUUAUUUAUGUGUAUUUAUUUAUUUUUAUUUUAAAAAGUAAAGAUGAGGUCGCCCUAUGUUGCCCAGGCUGGUUUUGAACUCCUGGACUCAGGCAACCCUCCUGCUUUGGCCUCCCAAAGUGCCGGGAUUACAAUCAUGAGCCACUGCACCCAGCCAGUCUAAUUUCUAAUAAUGGCUAUGUUUAACAAGCAAUUUGCAAAAUUCCUGAAAAUGUAAGAAUUGACUCUUCUGAGCUGGCAGGAGCUGACUCCAGC
rnacentral:lncRNA from 10 species